rnacentral:rRNA from 1 species
UAGGGAAUCUUCGGCAAUGGACGGAAGUCUGACCGAGCAACGCCGCGUGAGUGAAGAAGGUUUUCGGAUCGUAAAGCUCUGUUGUAAGAGAAGAACGAGUGUGAGAGUGGAAAGUUCACACUGUGACGGUAUCUUACCAGAAAGGGACGGCUAACUACGUGCCAGCAGCCGCGGUAAUACGUAGGUCCCGAGCGUUGUCCGGAUUUAUUGGGCGUAAAGCGAGCGCAGGCGGUUAGAUAAGUCUGAAGUUAAAGGCUGUGGCUUAACCAUAGUAUGCUUUGGAAACUGUUUAACUUGAGUGCAGAAGGGGAGAGUGGAAUUCCAUGUGUAGCGGUGAAAUGCGUAGAUAUAUGGAGGAACACCGGUGGCGAAAGCGGCUCUCUGGUCUGUAACUGACGCUGAGGCUCGAAAGCGUGGGGAGCAAACA